UCAUCAUGACUUGUGGAUAAUACCCCAUCGCACAUUAUUCAUCUAACUUUCGAUUCCAUCCAUUGAUCCCAUUUUUUUUCUAAAACACAAACAUUGAAAGUUCGGUCUAAACCUAGGAAUAAUAAAAAGCAAAAGAAGGUCAAUAAAAGAGAAAGAAAAUGAUUUCUAUUUUUAAUUGCCUGUUCUACUCUAGCUAAAGCAAAGACC
rnacentral:lncRNA from 1 species